rnacentral:rRNA from 1 species
AGCGAACGCUAGCGGCGGGCCUAACACAUGCAAGUCGAGCGGGGGAGCAAUCCCCAGCGGCGGACGGGUGAGUAACACGUAGGUUAUGUGCCCUUUGGUGGGGAAUAACCGUGGGAAACCAUGGCUAAUUCCGCAUAUCGAGCGAAAUCUUGAAAGCCUUCGGGCGCCAAAGGAGCAACCUGCGGCCCAUUAGCUUGUUGGUAGGGUAACGGCCUACCAAGGCGAUGAUGGGUAGCUGGUCUGAGAGGAUGAUCAGCCACACUGGAACUGAGACACGGUCCAGACUCCUACGGGAGGCAGCAGUGGGGAAUAUUGCGCAAUGGGCGAAAGCCUGACGCAGCCACGCCGCGUGAGUGAUGAAGGCC